CAGACCUGGAUUUGAAGUCUGGUUGUGUUACUAGCUGGCUUUGUGACCAUGAACAAGUAACUUGACUCUCUGAUCUUUAAUAACCAAGUUUUUGGAUAGUGGCAAUGAUAGUAACACCACAAAUAACAGCAUAGGGUAGUAAUGAUAAUUAAGAUAAUUAUCAUUAGAGUACUUUCCAGUAGAAUUGCUCACUUAAUGAUAAUUUUCUGCAUUGAAGCCCAAGAGCCAGAGUCAAUAUGAAUUGACUUUUUAAAGGAUAAGUUUCUCAGCAAUAAAUGGAAAGACCUUUGAGUUUACUUGUAAAGUGUGUAUGAGUCAUUGUUUUCAGAGUAGGUUUGUAGAAAGUUUGAGGAAUUUCAAGAAGGAGUUGCGUAUUUAUGCUUUGAGAGGUGAUCAUGGCAGACAAUGGCUGCUAUUGCUUGUGACUGGAGUCACUGCUUUUAAGAACUGGUUUCAGGAUUAUGGGAUCUGAUCUCUUCUCAGUCCUCAGAUUAUAAUGAGAAUACUGAGGCCCUACAGUGGUGAUGUCAUGUGGGUACACUUGUAUUAGUGUCAGACCCAGGAUUCAGGACUUGUGGCUCCUAGUCCAGGGCUUGUUCACUCAGUUUUCUUCUGAGCUGAACUGCGCUCAUGACCCAUUGUGGUCUUUAUCAUCUUCAUGGGAAGAAAUGCAGGACCCAGAAUUCUGAGUCACCCUAACGUGGGGUUGCUCUUUACUCUGUGAAGUUCCUAGCCUAGUGCUUCUGCCAGGUGACUAGAGACUCUGGCAUUGUGCUGCCAGAUUCUAGAAAGUCCUGGAGGGAAGAUGUUUAGUGUUCAGGAUCCAUUGCUUUCACUCUGCCCACAAGGCCUUGGGCCAGCCAUGGGCCCUGUCACCCUCCUUCUUGUGCUGCCUGGUCUGGGAACCUGGCUGGACUUGCAGGGAUUUGCUCCUUGGACUUCUUUCUAACCUUAUCUUUUCC
rnacentral:lncRNA from 1 species